GAUGAACGCUGGCGGUAUGCCUAACACAUGCAAGUCGUACGAGAGUUUUUAACUCUAGUGGCGGACGGGUGAGUAACACGUGAGAAUUUGCCUUUAGGAGGGGGACAACAAUUGGAGACGAAUGCUAAUACCCCAUAUGCUUUCGAGUGAAAUGGAUUUUAUCCGCCUAGAGAGAAGCUCGCGGCUGAUUAGCUAGUUGGUGGGGUAAUGGCUCACCAAGGCGACGAUCCCUAGCUGGUUUGAGAGGAUGAUCAGCCACACUGGAACUGAGACACGGCCCAGACUCCUACGGGAGGCAGCAGUGGGGAAUAUUGCACAAUGGACGAAAGUCUGAUGCAGCAACGCCGCGUGGAGGAUGACACAUUUCGGUGCGUAAACUCCUUUUAUAUAGGAAGAUAAUGACGGUACUAUAUGAAUAAGCACCGGCUAACUCCGUG
rnacentral:rRNA from 1 species